rnacentral:rRNA from 1 species
UACAGAGGUGGCAAGCGUUGUUCGGAAUUACUGGGCGUAAAGCGUGCGCAGGCGGUCUUUUAAGUCAGAUGUGAAAUCCCCGGGCUUAACCUGGGAACUGCGUUUGAAACUGAAAGGCUAGAGUGUGGCAGAGGGGGGUGGAAUUCCACGUGUAGCAGUGAAAUGCGUAGAGAUGUGGAGGAACACCGAUGGCGAAGGCAGCCCCCUGGGCUAACACUGACGCUCAUGCACGAAAGCGUGGGGAGCAAACAGG